GCGGAGAUGGCGGAAUGGCAGACGCGCUAGAUUCAGGUUCUAGUGGUGGCAACACUGUGAGGGUUCAAGUCCCUUUCUCCGCAC
rnacentral:tRNA from 2 species